rnacentral:rRNA from 1 species
AGAGUUUGAUCCUGGCUCAGGCUGAACGCUGGCGGCGUGCCUAACACAUGCAAGUCGAACGGACUUAAGAUGAAACCUAGUGAUUCUUAAGUUAGUGGCGGACGGGUGAGUAACGCGUGGGUAACCUGCCCUAUACCGGGGGAUAACACUUAGAAAUAGGUGCUAAUACCGCAUAAGCGCACGGGACCGCAUGGUCUUGUGUGAAAAACUCCGGUGGUAUAGGAUGGACCCGCGUCUGAUUAGAUAGUUGGUGGGGUAACGGCCUACCAAGUCGACGAUCAGUAGCCGGCCUGAGAGGGUGAACGGCCACAUUGGGACUGAGACACGGCCCAAACUCCUACGGGAGGCAGCAGUGGGGAAUAUUGCACAAUGGGGGAAACCCUGAUGCAGCAAUGCCGCGUGAGUGAAGAAGUAUUUCGGUAUGUAAAGCUCUAUCAGCAGGAAAGAAAAUGACGGUACCUGACUAAGAAGCCCCGGCUAACUACGUGCCAGCAGCCGCGGUAAUACGUAGGGGGCAAGCGUUAUCCGGAUUUACUGGGUGUAAAGGGAGCGUAGACGGUAUGGCAAGUCUGAAGUGANAGCCCGGGGCCCAACCCCGGGACUGCUUUGGAAACUGUCGCACUGGAGUGCGGGAGAGGUAAGUGGAAUUCCUAGUGUAGCGGUGAAAUGCGUAGAUAUUAGGAGGAACACCAGUGGCGAAGGCGGCUUACUGGACCGUAACUGACCGUGAGGCUCGAAAGCGUGGGGAGCAACAGGAUUAGAUACACUGGUAGUCCACACGGUACACGACGAUUACUAGGUGUCGGGGAGGUAUAGCUCUUCGGAGCCGCCGCACAGUCUAUGAGUCAUCACAUGCGGGAGUAUGCUGGCAAGAAUGCACUCUAAGGAAUUGACGGGGACCCGCACAUACGGUGGAGCAGGUGGUUAAUUAGAAGCAAUCGCGAUGAACCUUACCUGGUGAGGACAUACACGAUGACCGAUUUGUUAAGAGAGCUUGUAUUCGGGACAUAGGAGACAGCUGGUGCAUGGAUAUUGUCAGCUCGUGUCUUGAGAAGGUGGGUGGAGUCCCUCUCAGUGCCCAACCCCUAUUUUCACUAGUCAGCACGUAGGAUGGUCAUUGAGGAGAGAGUCCCGGGGAUCACCCGGAGGAAGGUGGGGAUGAGGUCCAAUCAUCACGCCCGGUAUGAUCAGGGCUAGACAAGUGGUACCAGGGCGUAUACAAGGGGAAGCGCGAGAGUGAUAUGGAGCUCAUCCCGUAUAGGACGUGGUCAGCCAGGAGUGAAGUACGCAUCUGGCAUACAUGAAGGUGGCAUCGAGUAGUAAUCGCGAAUCAGUAUGUCGCGCAGGAUAUGGUCACCGGCUCCAGUACACACCGCGAGUCAGGGCGAAUUCGUGGACGAUUCAGGGCUGUCCAUUCAGUGAGGCUUAUUCUGGUCUGCAUCUGCC